AGGAGGAGCGCCGCAGCCUGGUCCUGCUGGGGUCGCCUGUGAAGCGAACCUCCAUGUUCUGCAGUUUGGACAGACACCAGCUCUUCAGUUCACUCACCAGAGACACCUGCUCAACAGACAAGACAACGACAAGGCGCUCCUGCAGGGCCCGCUGCUCCAUCCUCUGCAGACACUCGCUCCUCUCCGCCGACACCCGCUCCACGGUCAACUUGUCAAGGGCCAACAUCUGACCGCAGCAACACACAGGGACGUCUGUUCACUGUUACAUGUCCUGUACCUCUGUUGUUUAUCGGUAAUAAUUCUUACACAUUACGGUGUGGGAGCAUUAAAAGACACAUAUAUAGUAUAUAGUCGUAGGGUUCAUCUAUGUGGUCGCUUCAGAGAGUAUGUUCCACACUUGGUGUGUGUGUAAACUUUGUCCUUCCAGCUCUCAGAGCUUUAUCUGUCAGGAUUCUGUAUAAACAUCAUUUUUGUUUUGUCCUCCCUCAUUCCAGGAUCUGUUGAAAUUCCCAUGUCCCUUUUCUUGUGUGUAACUCCUCCGUCUGUUGAUCUGAUCUCUUAUGUCUUACAGUAAGUUGUGGGAGAGUGUGUCAUGAAUGGGGCUGCUACUGUAAUGUUUACAGUGCUGAGGGAAUAGAACCUCUGAGCCAUGAAGUGUUGGAGCUGUGUCAUUUCUGUUCAGCAAUAAAGGGCCACGACGAAAAAGGCUUUUGUAAAAUGUCAACUGAAGAUGUUUACAGUAAGUACUGUAUGUCGAGGGCCUGUACCCAUCAUACACUGUGUUACAGUUUCAACCUGUACCAACAACAAGUUAAACUAAGUUACCUACUACAGGUUAGAUGUGCUAACAUCCGAUUAGAGUGAGUCCGUGGUACUUUUGUGUUUUAUUUAGGGCUUCAGCUAAAGAUAAUUUUCAAUCAGUCUAAUAGAAAUACAAUUAGAGUUUGUUGCCGCUCUGGCUUUAAUCCUUACGAAUUCAGGUUUUAAUUUGUAAAAGAAAGAUAGUGUCAUUCAAUGGCGUUGCUUUAAAUCUCCUCUUGAUAGUUUAUAAAUAUUUGAUCUGUAAUUUGAGUCGUAGGUCAUGAGUGAGGGAAUAAGACUGAGGAGCUGUAAAUAACUGCAAUUACUGUAUAUAAAAAAUUAGUAGAGAAGGAAAUUUGAGUCGACUCUGAUCACAUGUAAUUACAAUGUAUUAUGAACCUAAACCGUUCUGUGCUGCGAGUUCAAAGUUUGGUCAUUUCCCUUGUGGCCAAAAAGAGAACGGUGAUGAACAUGAGUGCUGAACCGAAAAAAAUAUAACAUUCUUAUCAAAA